ACCCAAGCGUAAGUGAAAGAAAAAACUGUUCGUACGCAGCCCUUACUCGCCCGACCGGCCGACCCUGAAAUUGCUCCCCCGCACGAGAACGUGAGGGUUUCUUCCGCCGCCGCGCCCUUCCGCCCCCGCGCCCCCAUCCCUUCGCUGCCGCCGCCGUCCAUCCACUCUGCGGUGCCCGUCCUCGAUCUGCGGUCUCCAAAUCCGGACGAGAUCGGCAGGAUCCACCCCAUCUCCCGUCAAACCCAGCCGCAGCUGCUCGUCGGCCAUGCGGGGAGCACGGACGAGCUGCUCAUCGACGUCCAUCCCGCAGCCCCGCCUACGACGGUGCCCAGCCUCCUCGACAGCGCGCCUCCUACUUGCCGCACGAUAGGGCUUUCUUCUAUUUUGGCAAGGGUCAAGCUAGCAACUGUGAAGAUGCAGAAUUCAUGCAACUCCAUCUUACUCCAACUCUCAGGUGCCGAAGGCGUCCGAUCGAACUCAGUUGGAGGCCAAACAGGUUCGGCUCUC